AUGCUUCUGAACUUCCAAAAUGAUGUCUGCGUCAGGGAAGAACUCGCCCUGUAUUCAAUCCACGCCUACCGCCCUUUGACGGAAAGCGACCUUUCCAAGCCACAGAUCAGACAGAAAUCAAGGAACUUGAUCAAGGCUCACCUCAUAUGCUUCACCCAGCAAGUUAAAGUAGUACCCAACACCAGAGUAACAUUUUCAGCUGGGUUUUACACAAACAAUGCGGUUUGGGGUGUCCUGCUAGGAGCAGCUGCACCAAUUCUCAACCUGAAAGGGAUUAUAUAUGAUUUGUAUCAACCAAAUUGA
rnacentral:rRNA from 1 species